GUUUUCCAUUGGAAUUGGACUGAGGCCCACUCAAGAAGGGUGUGGCUUUCUUGGUGACAGAAAUAAGGCUGGGAAUUAGAGCUUAGGAGAAGCUUCUUGUUGGAGCUUGACUAACAAAUGCAUCAGUGCCAAGAUGGUCUGAGGCCCCAGACUAAGGGCCCAGGUUUUCCCACCGUGAUGGAGCUGACAGCCUGAGAUCUCGUUACACUCUGGCAAAGUGGCUUUCUGACGAAACCCAACUUUGCAGAAUAAGGCAUUCUGGAAGCAGAAUUUCAUCACUUUAUCACUCCAGGAUUUAUUAGGAUGACUUACAGGUGUCGUCCAGCUAAUCCAACAAUGCUGCCUAUGAAGUCUGAGAAUCCAGUAGUUUUUCAGUCCACAAGAAUGGUGUCUCUACUGGUCUUCUGUAUUGGAUCCUGAAGAAGUUGCUCCAAUGCCAGUGAAGGAAUGGAUGCGCUAAUACGGUUCACACUUCUCAUUAAGGAACAGAGAAUCGUGUACGCGAGACCCCGCUUCCAGGUCUUGUCCUCUCAUUAGUUCCAGACUGCAGCAGGGAAAGUCCCAUCCCCCCACACCACGGAAAACAGCCUUGUCUGGUUGUGCCGGAUGGCGCACACCCACCCUACGAUGAGGGCCAUUAACAACCGCAGGCCACGCUAUGUCGUUGGCCAUCACAGCGCAUAUUAUAAAGUACUUAAAAGUUCAGGGUGGGAGAGUGAUAUUAAGAACAAGCUAAGGCACAGAAGCCUCAUCCGGGAUUUUUAGGUGCCGACCUCACCCACCCUGUCCCUUUUCCUGAGGGACAAGAACCAAGAUGGUGCCGAUUCCACUGUUAGCGUUCCUCGAAUCCUGGAUUCAGGAGCCUUGCUCUCUGUGCAGUGAAAAUGAACGCUAGUGCUGCCUUUGGGUGUAACCAUGUUCUUCCCACACAGGAAAACACCAGAGCAGGACUUUUCAAAUGAGCAGGAUGCAGUUUUUUGGAAAUGCAGCUCUGCGUGUGUGUGUGUGUGUGUGUGUGUGUGUGUGUGUGUGUGUGUAUGUGUUGGAAGCAGAGAAAAGCUAAUAAUUAAUGAUCUUUUGUGCUUUGCUCCUGAAGAGUGGGAGGUCAACCAAUAAAACAAAAACACUUUGUCUUCUCUUUGCCAGUGACAGCUAUUCUUAUAUGAAAAGUCUCCAACGGCAGGGCCUUUCCUCUGAUGGAGGAGCAAAGGCACGGUUGUGUGUGGCACGGAUGAGAGCCAGAGGCGCUGGGACCAGGGGAGGCCGUUUCUCUUUCUAGAUUGUUGGACAAUGUUGUUCACAUCUAAAUCACAACCCUAACUGAGAAACUUUAACACUGCAGCUUGUGGCUAGGUGGCGGUUAAAGGUCCCCACUGUGACCUUGGCUUUUGAGUGGGGAAUUCGGCAGUUCUUCUGAAGAGACCUCGUACCCAGCAGCUCCUUACAGAUGGCACAUUUAAAGAAAACUGGCAGGGACACUCCCCCUGCCUGCCGUGGGCUCUCUGGACUUUCUUCUUUAAAACCUUAAACUUUAGUGUCCUCUCCAAAUGCUCGAGAAGCCAAUCAUGAACCACUAAACACUUCAGAGGCUCCGAAAGGGACUUGGCCUGGCUGAGGUAAUGGCUGAUGGGAAAAGUUUCCUGGUAGCUUCGUCCACGGUGGAGAGGGGUCAUGGUUUAG